rnacentral:rRNA from 1 species
GUGAGGAAUAUUGGUCAAUGGGCGGGAGCCUGAACCAGCCAAGUCGCGUGAAGGAAGAAGGAUCUAUGGUUCGUAAACUUCUUUUGCAGGGGAAUAAAGUGCAGGACGUGUCCUGUUUUGUAUGUACCCUGAGAAUAAGGAUCGGCUAACUCCGUGCCAGCAGCCGCGGUAAUACGGAGGAUCCGAGCGUUAUCCGGAUUUAUUGGGUUUAAAGGGUGCGUAGGUGGUUUGAUAAGUCAGCGGUGAAAGUUUGCAGCUUAACUGUAAAAAUGCCGUUGAAACUGUCGGACUUGAGUGUAAAUGAGGUAGGUGGAAUGCGUGGUGUAGCGGUGAAAUGCAUAGAUAUCACGCAGAACUCCGAUUGCGAAGGCAGCUUACUAAGCUACAACUGACACUGAAGCACGAAAGCGUGGGGAUCAAACAGGAUUAGAAACCCGUGUAGUCC